GAUGAAGAACGCAGUGAAAUGCGAUACGUAAUGUGAAUUGCAGAAUUCAGUGAAUCAUCGAAUCUUUGAACGCACAUUGCGCCCCCUGGUAUUCCGGGGGGCAUGCCUGUUCGAGCGUCAUUACAACCCUCAAGCUCUGCUUGGUAUUGGGCCCCGCCAGUUCUGGCGGGCCCUAAAGUCAGUGGCGGUGCCUUCCGGCUCCGAGCGUAGUAAUUCUUCUCGCUCUGGAGACCCGGUUGUGUGCUUGCCAACAACCCCCAAUUUUUUAAGGUUGACCUCGGAUCAGGUAGGGAUACCCGCUGAACUUAAGCAUAUCAAUAAGCGGAGGA
rnacentral:misc_RNA from 1 species